GAUCUAUAUAAUGAGAAUGACUAAUGGAUGCAUACCAACGUACAAGAGCUAGAGUUUCGACCUGGCUACUUCAUGGCAGCAAAAUCAGCUUUCUUCUCUCUUGAUCUUCCUCGGUGAUGCCUCUAAUUUCAAUGAAUUUUAUUGACAAUACAGAACUAGAGUUAUUUAUGGAAAGAGCAUUAUGUAGCUAAUAAGGUGAAGAAGGGGUCAAGAAUGGUACGCUCAAUGGACAUGUCUCUCUUGAUAAUUUGAAGACUUUGUUAUUGUAGAAUAAAGGUGUAUGACAAAAUUCUUCAAUGAAUUGGAUCGUGUCUUUGGUUUCUUAUGCAUCCU